rnacentral:rRNA from 1 species
UACGUAGGGUGCGAGCGUUGCCCGGAUUUAUUGGGCGUAAAGGGCGCGUAGGCGGCUCUGCACGUUCGUUGUGAAAUCGCCCGGCUCAACUGGGCGGGGUCAGCGGAUACGGCAGAGCUUGAGCAAGCUAGGGGGCAAUGGAAUUCCCGGUGUAGUGGUGGAAUGCGUAGAUAUCGGGAGGAACGCCAGUGGCGAGGGCGGUUGCCUGGGGCUUUG